rnacentral:rRNA from 1 species
AGAGUUUGAUCCUGGCUCAGGACGAACGCUGGCGGCGUGCUUAACACAUGCAAGUCGAACGGUAAGGCCCUUCGGGGUACACGAGUGGCGAACGGGUGAGUAACACGUGGGUAAUCUGCCCUGCACAUCGGGAUAAGCCUGGGAAACUGGGUCUAAUACCGAAUAGGACCACAGGACACAUGUCCUGUGGUGGAAAGCUUUUGCGGUGUGGGAUGGGCCUGCGGCCUAUCAGCUUGUUGGUGGGGUGAUGGCCUACCAAGGCGACGACGGGUAGCCGGCCUGAGAGGGUGUCCGGCCACACUGGGACUGAGAUACGGCCCAGACUCCUACGGGAGGCAGCAGUGGGGAAUAUUGCACAAUGGGCGAAAGCCUGAUGCAGCGACGCCGCGUGGGGGAUGACGGCCUUCGGGUUGUAAACCUCUUUCACCAUCGACGAAGGUCCGGGUUUUCUCGGGCUGACGGUAGGUGGAGAAGAAGCACCGGCCAACUACGUGCCAGCAGCCGCGGUAAUACGUAGGGUGCGAGCGUUGUCCGGAAUUACUGGGCGUAAAGAGCUCGUAGGUGGUUUGUCGCGUUGUUCGUGAAAUCUCACGGCUUAACUGUGAGCGUGCGGGCGAUACGGGCAGACUUGAGUACUGCAGGGGAGACUGGAAUUCCUGGUGUAGCGGUGGAAUGCGCAGAUAUCAGGAGGAACACCGGUGGCGAAGGCGGGUCUCUGGGCAGUAACUGACGCUGAGGAGCGAAAGCGUGGGGAGCGAACAGGAUUAGAUACCCUGGUAGUCC